UAGGCUAAUGUCCGUAGGUUUGGACGGCUAGUUGUUAACUAGUUUUAUUGUGGGAUCGAAGCCCACUAGUCUAG
rnacentral:tRNA from 1 species